rfam:Citrus clementina cultivar Clemenules unplaced genomic scaffold scaffold_3, whole genome shotgun sequence.
AGACCGUGAUAUGGGCAUUUUCUUAGUAGGUCUUUGUAUCUCUCCCAUGCUUCAUAUAUGAUUCCAUCUCGAAUUGAGCAAAUGUUGUGAUGUCAUUUCUCAACUU